rnacentral:rRNA from 1 species
GGCAGACGGGUGAGUAACAUGUGGGUAUCUGCCCUUUGGCCUGGAAUAACACGAGGAAACUUGUGCUAAUACCGGAUAAGUCUUUACGGAGAAAGCUUUAUGCACCAUUGGAUGAGCCCGCACUUGAUUAGUUAGUUGGUCGGGUAAUGGCCUACCAAGACUGUGAUCAAUAGCUGAUUUGAGAGGAUGAUCAGCCACAUUGGGACUGAGACACGGCCCAAACUCCUACGGGAGGCAGCAGUGGGGAAUCUUGCACAAUGGAGGAAACUCUGAUGCAGCGAUGCCGCGUGAGUGAAGAAGGCCCUUGGGUUGUAAAGCUCUUUCGUCGGGGAAGAAAAUGACUGUACCCGAAUAAGAAGGUCCGGCUAACUUCGUGCCAGCAGCCGCGGUAAUACGAAGGGACCUAGCGUAGUUCGGAAUUACUGGGCUUAAAGAGUUCGUAGGUGGUUGAAAAAGUUGGUGGUGAAAUCCCAGAGCUUAACUCUGGAACUGCCAUCAAAACUUUUCAGCUAGAGUAUGAUAGAGGAAAGCAGAAUUUCUAGUGUAGAGGUGAAAUUCGUAGAUAUUAGAAAGAAUACCAAUUGCGAAGGCAGCUUUCCGGAUCAUUACUGACACUGAGGAACGAAAGCAUGGGUAGCGAAGAGGAUUAGAUACCCUCGUAGUCCAUGCCGU